rnacentral:rRNA from 1 species
GUGCCUAAUACAUGCAAGUCGAGCGAAUUGACAGAGGUGCUUGCACCUCUCGAUUUUAGCGGCGGACGGGUGAGUAACACGUGGGUAACCUACCUAUAAGACUGGGAUAACUUCGGGAAACCGGAGCUAAUACCGGAUAAUAUUUAGCUUCGCAUGAAGCAAUAGUGAAAGACGGUUCUGCUGUCACUUAUAGAUGGACCUGCGGUGUAUUAGCUAGUUGGUGAGGUAACGGCUCACCAAGGCAACGAUACAUAGCCGACCUGAGAGGGUGAACGGCCACACUGGGACUGAGACACGGCCCAGACUCCUACGGGAGGCAGCAGUAGGGAAUCUUCCGCAAUGGACGAAAGUCUGACGGAGCAACGCCGCGUGAGUGAAGAGGGUUUUCGGAUCGUAAAACUCUGUUGUAAGGGAAGAACAAGUACGUUAGUAACUGAACGUACCUUGACGGUACCUUACCAGAAAGCCACGGCUAACUACGUGCCAGCAGCCGCGGUAAUACGUAGGUGGCAAGCGUUAUCCGGAAUUAUUGGGCGUAAAGCGCGCGUAGGCGGUCUCUUAAGUCUGAUGUGAAAGCCCCCGGCUCAACCGGGGAGGGUCAUUGGAAACUGGGAGACUUGAGUACAGAAGAGGAGAGUGGAAUUCCAUGUGUAGCGGUGAAAUGCGCAGAGAUAUGGAGGAACACCAGUGGCGAAGGCGGCUCUCUGGUCUGUAACUGACGCUGAGGUGCGAAAGCGUGGGGAUCAAACAGGAUUAGAUACCCUGGUAGUCCACGCCGUAAACGAUGAGUGCUAAGUGUUGGGGGGGUUUCCGCCCCUCAGUGCUGCAGCUAACGCAUUAAGCACUCCGCCUGGGGAGUACGGUCGCAAGACUGAAACUCAAAUGAAUUGACGG